rnacentral:rRNA from 1 species
AGCAGCCCGCCCGUAAUACGGAGGGUGCAAGCGUUACUCGGAAUUACUGGGCGUAAAGCGUACGUAGGCGGCUUGCCAAGUUGGAUGUGAAAUCCCACAGCUUAACUGUGGAACUGCGUCCAAAACUGGUAAGCUCGAGAACAGUAGGGGACAGUGGAACUCAAGGUGGAGCGGUGGAAUGCGUAGAGAUCUUGAGGAACACCGGUGGCGAAAGCGACUGUCUGGGCUGUUUCUGACGCUGAGGUACGAAAGCCAGGGGAGCGAACGGGAUUAGAUACCCCGGUAGUCCUGGCCGUAAACGAUGGGCACUAGCUUGAGGCGAUCUUCGGAUUUCUCUUGCGUAGCUAACGCGUUAAGUGCCCCGCCUGGGG